rnacentral:tmRNA from 1 species
GGGGAUGUACGAAUCGACGGAUUUGAACUUUGAAAACUGCAAGCCGAAGCUGACAUCAUCUUCGUAAAAAUGAAGUCAAAACUCAAGUGCUAAACAAAAUUUAGCCCUUGCUUACCAGAGGCUGUUCGCGCAGCGCGUUCAAUACGCGAUGCUCCCAGUAGCUGCAUAAGCCGUUUCCUAGAUUUUUCUUUGGUGAAGUCUUUGAAGCGUAAACAAAGCCAAAGUGCCAAAUAUUAAAGUUUGAUUUUCUUUAAUUUUUGUAAGAUGAACAAUCACACAACGACCUUCUUGUUAUUUCGAUCGGUUGUUGUAAGCAAAGAACUAACUACGCUUGUAGACGUUUAAAGGUUUCCUUUCCACACAGGGGCUCACCCCCCUCAUCUCCACUU